rnacentral:rRNA from 1 species
AAACUUUCAACAACGGAUCUCUUGGUUCUCGCAUCGAUGAAGAACGCAGCGAAAUGCGAUAAGUAAUAUGAAUUGCAGAUAUUCGUGAAUCAUCGAAUCUUUGAACGCCCACAUUGCGCCCUUUGGUAUUCCAAAGGGCAUGCCUGUUUGAGCGUCAUUU